rnacentral:lncRNA from 1 species
CUUGGUCGCAUGCCAUGAGACAUGAGCGGCGCGUGGUACGGUGGUUGCAGGUGAGCACGAGCGGCGGGUCGCGGAAGGCGCCGACGGAGGCGAAGCUCAAGGUGGCGAUCAACGGGUUCGGGCGCAUCGGGCGCAACUUCCUGCGGUGCUGGCACGGGCGCGGCGACAGCUCGCCGCUGGAGGUGAUCGCCAUCAACGACACCGGAGGCGUGAAGCAGGCGUCCCACCUCCUCAAGUACGACUCCACGCUGGGCAUCUUCGACGCGGACGUCAAGCCCGUGGGCGACAACGCCAUCUCCGUCGACGGCAAGGUGAUCAAGGUCGUGUCCGACCGCAACCCCUCCAACCUGCCGUGGGGCGAGAUGGGCAUCGACCUCGUCAUCGAGGGCACCGGCGUCUUCGUCGACCGCGCCGGCGCGGGCAAGCAUCUCGAGGCCGGAGCCAAGAAGGUGCUCAUCACCGCGCCCGGCAAGGGCGACAUCCCCACCUACGUCUGCGGCGUCAACGCCGACCUCUACACCCACGCCGACACCAUCAUCAGCAACGCCUCAUGCACCACCAACUGCCUCGCCCCCUUCGUCAAGGUCCUCGACCAAAAGUUCGGUACGUGCCCGUCUCCCUCCCUCUCUCUCUCUCUCAACUGAAUCAACUUGUUGACGAUGACUAAUGGCGGCGGUGGCAAUGGCGCAGGC